rnacentral:rRNA from 1 species
CCUACGGGUGGCAGCAGUGAGGAAUAUUGGUCAAUGGGCGAGAGCCUGAACCAGCCAAGUCGCGUGAGGGAGUACUGCCCUAUGGGUUGUAAACCUCUUUUGUCGGGGAGCAAAAGCCGGACGUGGCCGGCUGUGAGAGUACCCGAAGAAAAAGCAGCGGCUAACUCCGUGCCAGCAGCCGCGGUAAUACGGAGGAUGCGAGCGUUCUCCGGAUUUAUUGGGGUUACAGGGAGCGUCGGUGGAUUGUUAAGUCCGUUGUGAAAGUUUGCGGGUCAACCGUAAAAUUGCAGUUGAAACUGGCAGUCUUGAGUACAGUAGAGGUGGGCGGAAUUCGUUGUGUAGCGGUGAAAUGCUUAGAUAUCACGAAGAACUCCGAUUGCGAAGGCAGCUCACUGGACUGCAACUGACACUGAGGCUCGAAAGUGUGGGUAUCAAACAGGAUUAGAUACCCCAGUAGUC